rnacentral:rRNA from 1 species
UACGAAGGGGGCAAGCGUUGUCCGGAAUCAUUGGGCGUAAAGCGCGCGUAGGCGGCCCGGUAAGUCCGCUGUAAAAGUCCAGGGCUCAACCCUGGAAAGCCGGUGGAUACUGUCGAGCUCGAGUCCGGAAGAGGCGAGUGGAAUUCCUGGUGUAGCGGUGAAAUGCGCAGAUAUCAGGAGGAACACCAAUGGCGAAGGCAGCUCGCUGGGACGUGACCGACGCUGAGACGCGAAAGCGUGGGGAGCAAACAGG